CUCAGCCAGACAAGCCAGUGAACAUCUUGUGAAGUUUGUCAAGACAGGAACCAGCAUCCAGGAGCACCUUGAUGGCAUCGCAGAAAGCCGUCAACCAUACCUGCUUGCAGUAGGGACUCAGAGGAGCGUGAUUCACAAGUACUUCAUUGUGAUUGACAAACACAGCUUUCAGUUGGCAUACAUUUGACCCCAAGAGACUGACCAUUGGACCAGGUAAAAUGGUGCCUUUAAAUGCACUGGACUGGGGCUGUGAGAUAGCAAAGACUCUUCAGUUACCGAUCAACACCAAGGUAUUAAAUGUUAAAUGGGCCAAACAUCAUGGAAAUAUGUAUCGUGCAGAUUUAGUUGUUUGUAAAGAAGUUUUUUGUGAAAUGCCAGUUUUCCAUAAGAUCCACAAUGUUGUUGUGAAAGAUGACAUGUUACUGUUUGUUACAUUUGCUCUGCAAACUGUGUCUGAAUGAGCAUUUCAGUUCUUUUCAAGUUUUGUGUACAAGAGACGGACCUCAUGUUAUUUAUGUAGAAGAGCUUUACUGUUACAGAGCUUUUGAUUUACAGGUGUCAUACAGUCAUGAAGAUGCAAAUGUUUAUAUUGUUCCAUACUGUUUCCUGUGAACAAUAAAAAUGGCUGUUCAAAUACUGA